rnacentral:rRNA from 1 species
UACGUAGGGUGCAAGCGUUGUCCGGAAUUAUUGGGCGUAAAGAGCUCGUAGGCGGUUUGUCGCGUCGGCUGUGGAAACCCGGGGCUCAACCCCGGGCCUGCAGUCGAUACGGGCAAACUAGAGUGCGGUAGGGGAGACUGGAAUUCCUGGUGUAGCGGUGAAAUGCGCAGAUAUCAGGAGGAACACCGGUGGCGAAGGCGGGUCUCUGGGCCGUAACUGACGCUGAGGAGCGAAAGCGUGGGGAGCGAACAGG